GUGGGAGGGGGCUUGCCCCCGAAGGCGGCCUGUCAGCUGAUACAUAGGGGCGACUGAUACUCCGCUAUCGGGGGCAAGCCCCCUCCCAC
rnacentral:misc_RNA from 1 species